ACGUCACCCCCAAGAGCUGCAGCACCGCGCUGACAUCAUGGCCCGGCCGCCCCACUUCUCCUUGUUUAUACUACACGGCGUCUUUAAAAAGCUGAAUCAGAAACCCCCUUUCAGCUUGGGGAACAGACAUGUUUAUGGCAAUGUUUAGACCAGCAAUGAUCGUAUCACUGUGCAACACAAUGACUGAAGAUGGAACUGAGCCGGCUGUCGGCAGAUCUCUAAGCAACACAAGAGCAAGGUCAUGAUGCAGUGCUAUCGAUGCUCCCUGGAACGCCAAACUCUAUCCAUCACAGUUAAAAAUUACAUGUGCAUGAGAAUAAGUGUGGCUAUACAAGGUUAUGUCUUUACCCAGUUCCUUAUCAUCAACUGUUCCUUUACCUCCAAUGUCUCCUUCAACCUUUUGUUUUCCCCACCACAUAAAAGCAAUUUGAAAACCCUCCCCAUGGCCGGGCACGGUGGCUCACGCCUGUAAUCCCAGCACUUUGGGAGAUCCAGGCGGGCAGAUCACAAGGUCAGGAGUUUGAGACCAGCCUGACCAACAUGGUGAAACCCUGUCUCCACAAAAAAUACAAAAAUUAGCUGGGCAUGGUGGCAUGCACUUGUAGUCCCAGCCACUUAGGAGGCUGAGGCAGGAGAAUCGCUUGAACAUGGGAAGUGGAGGUUGCAGUGAGCUGAGAUUGCGCCACUGCACUCCAGCCUGGGUGACAGAGCGAGACUCCGUCUUAAAAAAAAAAAAACCCUCCCCACAUUUGAAGGUACCUACAUAUUUGUUAGAUUACUGCCUGCCUGUCCUUAUGGAUAGGGCCUACAGUGGCUCCCUACUGCCAACUGCAUGGAAGCCUGGUUUUGGGGCUGCACUUAACAAGCUCUUCCUGCCCGAACUUUUCAGGCUCGCCUCUCCCCAGUCCCUCCUCUCACACCAUGGUGGUGCUUCGUCUGGCUUUCUCUCCCUGCCACCUUCCUGCCUUUGCUCAGGCUAGACUGCCUGCCUGGGAUGCCCUCUCUUUUCCUUUCUGCCAAUCCAUUUCACUUUUCGGCGGUUUGAAGCUCUGUUCCUAACUCACCUUUUACAGGAAGCUGCUUGUGACAUCUCCAGCUGUGCUGAAUCCCCCAUUUUUGAACGCAGAGCUAGAUGCACCCCAGCCUUUACCUCAUGCCAUUUAAUUUGCACACAGUCCUGUCACAAUCGCUGUGUGUCUCACUCAGUAAUUCCCCUCCUGGCUGAAGGGGUUUGGCUUUUUUAAGUGCGCAGACGUCCAGCCUUCACUGGCAUAUACGGGUACCCCAGCCUCAUUUUACAGAUGAGGACCUGAGGCUCAAAGAGGUGAAGUGACUUGUCUGAGGCCACACAGUAAGACCACCUUUUCCAUCCCCACCCCAGGAAAGCGACCCUCCAGCCACAAUCUAAUCCUGUACUUUUAAGCCACCAAGCUUCUGACUGUGGCAUUCUCCCUGCUUAAUAUGUCCUCAAUAUCCCCUACUUACUGGGCAAAAUCCUGCUUAUGCUUUGGGACUAGCUCAAAGACCACUCCCUUGGAUGGUGCCUUCCCUGCCCUGCCGGCUUGCGCUGGCUUCCUCAGUGUUAGGAUUACCAUCACAUUGCAUCAUGAG
rnacentral:lncRNA from 1 species